rnacentral:rRNA from 1 species
UACGAAGGGGGCUAGCGUUGCUCGGAAUCACUGGGCGUAAAGCGCACGUAGGCGGCUUUUUAAGUCAGGGGUGAAAUCCUGGAGCUCAACUCCAGAACUGCCUUCGAUACUGGCGAUCUUCGAGUCCGGGAGAGGUGAGUGGAACUCCGAGUGUAGAGGUGAAAUUCGUAGAUAUUCGGAAGAACACCAGUGGCGAAGGCGGCUCACUGGCCCGGUACUGACGCUGAGGUGCGAAAGCGUGGGGAGCAAACAGG